rnacentral:lncRNA from 1 species
UAUAAGUUUUGGUUCUGAGUCCCAGAACCAAAAUGGAGUUACUAAUGUCUAGGGACCUAACAGUCUGUGGGCACCAUUUUGAUUUCUCCUGCUUCACAGUUUGUACAAGAGCACAGCAGCCUGGACACCAGCAGCAGACCUGCAGGUCCCUGCCUGUCAAAAAUUUUGCUUGACUUACCCAGCUCCCAGCAGGGAAUUCUCAACUGCACUAUGACAUGGCUUCCACUGCUUCUCCUCUUCUCCUUUCUUGGCCCUUCACAGAGCUAUGCUUGUCUGGAAGACCCAGAAGGUGAGUUGCCAUCUAGGAUGCCCAGGGUUCUUUCCACGCCUUCUCAGAUGCCCUGGACGCCACCCACUUCAAACAGCUCCUGUGGUAUGGAAAUUUUCCAGGCAGUUGUUUCUCAGCAAGGACCCUGCUCUUUCCCUU